AGGGGUAUAGCUCAGUUGGCUAGAGCACAGGUCUCCAAAACCUGGUGUCGCGGGUUCGAGUCCCUCUACCCCUGCCA
rnacentral:tRNA from 1 species